GAAAUAUGAUGAAUCAAAAAAAAGCUGCUAACUUUUUUCUUAGCGGUUAAAUUCCGUUUAUAUUUCU
rnacentral:tRNA from 2 species